rnacentral:rRNA from 1 species
GAUGAACGCUGGCGGCGUGCCUAAUACAUGCCAGUGGAGCUACCAGUUAAGGGGCUUGUUCCUUUAUGUUUAGCGGGGGACGGGGCGGUAAAACAUGGGUAACCUCCCUCAAAGACGGGAAUAACCCCGGUAACCCGGGCCAAAUUCCGGUUAACUUUUAUACCGGCAUUUUUUUAACCUGAAAAAUGUUUUUGCUUCCAAUCAUUGAUGAACCCGCGCCGUAUUAGCUAGUUGGUACGUUAACGGCUUACCAAGGCAACGAUACGUAGCCGACCUGAGAGUGUGAUCUGCCACACUUGAACUGAGACACGGUACAGACGCCUACGGGAGGCAGCGGAAGGGAUUCGUCCGCAAUGGGCGAAAGCCUGACGGAGCAACGCCGCGUGAGUGAUGAAGGGCUUCGGAUCGUAAAACUCUGGUAUUAGGGAAGAACAAAUGUGUAAGGAACUGUGCACGUCUUGACGGUACCUAAGCAGAGAGGCACGACUAACUACGUG